rnacentral:miRNA from 1 species
AUCAACGGAAAGCUUUUGGCUAGGGUUUGGUUAGGACUGAUAAGCAGCUGAGGGUUUUCAGUUUACGCAGAUGGAGGCAGUGAGUUUGAGGCAGCAAAUGCAUAACUUGUAGAAUUAUGAAUGGGAAAAGUGAUGGUACCGAUGACUUUCUUGCAAGUUAUGCAGUUGCUGCCUCAAGCUUGCUGCCUCCCUCUGCCAAAACUAGUGUGGACAAAAUAACCCAUGUCAAUGCAUUAUGGAGACAAGGAGAAGCAAUAUGAAAUGAAAUCUAAAGAUGAAGCUGCUCCCCACACAAAAGAACUAACCAUACAAUCACACAAUCGUCUCCAAUAAGCAAACGCGUUUACCAUCAUUAGUUUUCAUUCAAGUGUUCUGAAAGCUGAAGAUAAGCUGUUUACAAACACCGUUGAGAUGAACUUGAAAGGUGAAAAGCUGAGGCUGGAGAAAGAGCAAGAGUUCUUGUGAUCUAUGUGAUAUAUAUGUAUAUAUAUAGUUCUUGUCUGCUGUCUUGUUGUAAUUUAUAGUGAAAGUUCUGUUGUAAUCUAUUGUAAAGAAAAUCAAGUGUAGAUUGACUUUGAAUAUUCUUGCAAG